rnacentral:rRNA from 1 species
UACGGAGAGGGCUAGCGUUAUUCGGAAUUAUUGGGCGUAAAGGGCGCGUAGGCGGAUUAGUAAGUUAAAAGUGAAAUCCCAAGGCUCAACCUUGGAAUUGCUUUUAAAACUGCUAAUCUAGAGAUUGAAAGAGGAUAGAGGAAUUCCUAGUGUAGAGGUGAAAUUCGUAAAUAUUAGGAGGAACACCAGUGGCGAAGGCGUCUAUCUGGUUCAAAUCUGACGCUGAGGCGCGAAGGCGUGGGGAGCAAACA